rnacentral:rRNA from 1 species
CAUGUAGGCGGUUUUUUAAGUCUGGAGUGAAAAUGCGGGGCUCAACCACGUAUGGCUCUGGAUACUGGAAGACUUGAGUGCAGGAGAGGAAAGGGGAAUUCCCAGUGUAGCGGUGAAAUGCGUAGAUAUUGGGAGGAACACCAGUGGCGAAGGCGCCUUUCUGGACUGUGUCUGACGCUGAGGUGCGAAAGCCAGGGUAGCGAACG